rnacentral:rRNA from 1 species
UACGUAGGGUGCGAGCGUUAAUCGGAAUUACUGGGCGUAAAGCGUGCGCAGGCGGUUAUGUAAGACCGAUGUGAAAUGCCCGGGCUUAACCUGGGAACUGCCUUUGUGACUGCAUGGCUAGAGUUUGGCAGAGGGGGGUAGAAUUCCACGUGUAGCAGUGAAAUGCGUAGAUAUGUGGAGGAACACCGAUGGCGAAGGCAGCCCCCUGGGUCAAGACUGACGCUCAUGCACGAAAGCGUGGGGAGCAAACAGG